UCUGUGUUUGAAAUAGCUAUGCCUUUCAAGGCCUUUUAUUUUCUCUCUAGGGAAGCAUGUGCAAUCCUGAAUGCUUUCAUAUUUCAUUGAUUAUUUUGGUGGUUUCUUGAUGUAAUUCUUCUGUUCAAUAUAUUUUCUUCAUGUGUUUUUGUUCAUUAAGCUGUUCUGGAAACUGUAGCUAAGAGUCAAGUCCAAGAAAAAUGAUACCAAAGAGGAGAAGUCAUUUCAAUUUCAUGAUGUUUUCAAUUUGGAUAAUGAGAACCGCGAAGAGGAAACCCCAACUUUAAUAGAUCAGAAGGAUAAUGUUUUUAUUAUAUCAAAUCGCAAAUCAAAAUAUCCCAUUCUACAAUUAGACUUAAGGU